GAGUUUGAUCCUGGCUCAGGAUGAACGCUGGCGGCGUGCCUAACACAUGCAAGUCGAACGGGGUAUAUAAGCGGAAGUUUACGGAUGGAAGGUUAUAUACUUAGUGGCGGACGGGUGAGUAACGCGUGGGCAACCUGCCCCGUGCCGGGGGAUACCGCCUGGAAACAGGCGCUAAUACCGCAUAAGCGCAUACAGCCGCAUGGGUGUAUGCGGAAAGCUCCGGCGGCACGGGAUGGGCCCGCGCCCGAUUAGCCAGUUGGCGGGGUAACGGCCCACCAAAGCGACGAUCGGUAGCCGGCCUGAGAGGGCGGACGGCCACAUUGGGACUGAGACACGGCCCAAACUCCUACGGGAGGCAGCAGUGGGGAAUAUUGCACAAUGGGGGAAACCCUGAUGCAGCAACGCCGCGUGGGUGAAGGAGCGUUUCGGCGCGUAAAGCCCUGUCAGCGGGGAAGAAGAAAGACGGUACCCGACCAAGAAGCCCCGGCUAACUACGUGCCAGCAGCCGCGGUAAUACGUAGGGGGCGAGCGUUAUCCGGAAUUACUGGGUGUAAGGGAGCGUAGACGGCGAGGUAAGCCUGAAGUGGAAGCCCGCGGCCCAACCGCGGAACUGCUUUGGGAACUGUUUUGCUGGAGUAUGGGAGGGGUAAGCGGAAU
rnacentral:rRNA from 1 species